GGCCUACUAUGGUGGUAACGGGUAACGGGGAAUUAGGGUUCGAUUCCGGAGAGGGAGCCUGAGAAACGGCUACCACAUCCAAGGAAGGCAGCAGGCGCGCAAAUUACCCAAUCCCGACACGGGGAGGUAGUGACAAUAAAUAACAAUACGGGGCUCUUUCGGGUCUCGUAAUUGGAAUGAGUACAAUUUAAAUCCCUUAACGAGGAACAAUUGGAGGGCAAGUCUGGUGCCAGCAGCCGCGGUAAUUCCAGCUCCAAUAGCGUAUAUUAAAGUUGUUGCAGUUAAAAAGCUCGUAGUUGAAUUUCGGGAUUGACACAUCGGUCGUGCCUUAAGGGGUAUGAACUGGUGUAGUCAAUUUCUCACCUUCUGGAGAACCGCGAUGCCCUUAAUUGGGUGUCACGGGGAACCAGGACCUUUACUUUGAAAAAAUUAGAGUGUUUAAAGCAGGCAUUUUGCUUGAAUACAUUAGCAUGGAAUAAUAAAAUAGGACGGCAUGAUUCUAUUUUGUUGGUUUCUAGGAUCACCGUAAUGAUUAAUAGGGAUAGUUGGGGGCAUUAGUAUUCAAUUGUCAGAGGUGAAAUUCUUGGAUUUAUUGAAGACUAACUACUGCGAAAGCAUUUGCCAAGGAUGUUUUCAUUAAUCAAGAACGAAAGUUAGGGGAUCGAAGACGAUCAGAUACCGUCGUAGUCUUAACCAUAAACUAUGCCGACUAGGAAUCAGACGAUGUUAAUUUUUUAAUGACUCGUUUGGCACCUUACGGGAAACCAAAGUGUUUGGGUUC
rnacentral:rRNA from 1 species